GACGAACGCUGGCGGCGUGCCUAAUACAUGCAAGUUGAGCGCUGAAGGUUGGUACUUGUACCAACUGGAUGAGCAGCGAACGGGUGAGUAACGCGUGGGGAAUCUGCCUUUGAGCGGGGGACAACAUUUGGAAACGAAUGCUAAUACCGCAUAAAAACUUUAAACACAAGUUUUAAGUUUGAAAGAUGCAAUUGCAUCACUCAAAGAUGAUCCCGCGUUGUAUUAGCUAGUUGGUGAGGUGAAGGCUCACCAAGGCGAUGAUACAUAGCCGACCUGAGAGGGGGAUCGGCCACAUUGGGACUGAGACACGGCCCAAACUCCUACGGGAGGCAGCAGUAGGGAAUCUUCGGCAAUGGACGAAAGUCUGACCGAGCAACGCCGCGUGAGUGAAGAAGGUUUUCGGAUCGUAAAACCCUGUUGGUAGAGAAGAACGUUGGUGAGAGUGGAAAGCUCAUCAAGUGACGGUAACUACCCAGAAAGGGACGGCUAACUACGUG
rnacentral:rRNA from 1 species